GCCAGCGAUGCACAGCAACAAAACCACCCCACUGAGGAUCCCCAGCGUUGGAGUCAGGAUUGAAUUACUUGGGCGUGGUUCUGCACAAAAAGAGAAAGUGCACAGACAAAAAAUACGAGUAACACAAGUCAAGGAAUUUGUUGCUGCAGACGUCACAAGAUUUUAUCGCAAUCCGUCGCUUCUUAGUUACCUUAACUAGUGUUAGACUGACAACAAAAGGAUUGACGUUAGAAAAGAGGAAACGUUCUUGAAAGAUAAAUGUAUAACCGUCUGAGGGGUGAAAAGGCGAUGGGGCGGUGUCGGUGGCAGGAAAAAAGGAAAUAAAGUCAAAAGAGGAAGAGAAAAGUAAGACAGGAUAUGUGCUGUGUGGGCUUGUGUGUGUGUGUGUGUGUGUGUAUACUCUCGAGUGAAUAGAACCGCCGCAGACUCCCGCGGGAUCGAAAAUGAGUAUACAAGGGAACUGAUAUUAUGUAUACAGCCGUUGCUCCCCAACAUAUCCAUAUUUCUAGCUGCGAGAGAGAUGCACUGGCUGCGACAGUCAAUUUCGUUUUGGUUUGUAAGCAAAAGCAACAAACCAACAUCAAUAUUCUAGCACUUCUGCUACUGCUGUUACGUAUAAAGGAGCGGCUGUGUGUAGUUUCUCUUGACUUAUUACAUCAGAAAUUCCAUCAAUAUAGUAGGGCCUCAAUAGAUCAAUAGAAAAGAAUAAAAAAAAUUUCUGUGGGAAUAA